ensembl:snoRNA
CCUCCCUUGCUACCUGGGCAAAGAGGCGUCUGGUUGGUGGCGCAGCUCUUCAAUCUAGCAGGGAGAGAGAAAUGAGCCCUCGUUCAUCCCAGUGCAGUAUCCUGGGCGGUGGCUGUCGCUGGUUCAUGCAGGGGGCACACGG